AGAGUUUGAUCCUGGCUCAGAAUGAACGUUGGCGGCGUGGAUUAGGCAUGCAAGUCGCGCGAUAAGCGUAGCAAUACGUGGAAAGCGGCGAAAGGGAGAGUAAUGCAUGGUUAGCUACCCUCGGGACUGGGAUAGCGGCGGGAAACUGCCGGUAAUACCAGAUGAUGUCUUCGGACCAAACGUGUGAACCGGCCCGAGGAGGUGACCAUGUCCUAUCAGCUAGUUGGCGGUGUAACGGACCACCAAGGCAAAGACGGGUAUGGGGCGUGAGAGCGUGCCCCCACUCACUGGGACUGAGAACUGCCCAGACACCUACGGGUGGCUGCAGUCGAGAAUCUUCGGCAAUGGGCGCAAGCCUGACCGAGCGACGCCGCGUGCGGGAUGAAGGCCUUCGGGUUGUAAACCGCUGUCGUAGGGGAGGAAGGUCUUGCGAAGAGCAAGGCUUGACCGAUCCUAGGAGGAAGGGCCGGCUAAUCUCGUGCCAGCAGCCGCGGUAAUACGAGAGGCCCAAACGUUAUUCGGAAUUACUGGGCUUAAAGAGUCCGUAGGCGGCGCGGAAAGUGGGGUGUGAAAGCCCUCGGCUCAACCGAGGAAUUGCGCUCCAAACUACCGUGCUUGAGGAACCUAGAGGUGAGCAGAACUGAUGGUGGAGCGGUGAAAUGCGUUGAUAUCAUCAGGAAUACCGGAGGCGAAGGCGGCUCACUGGGGGUUUUCUGACGCUGAGGGACGAAAGCCAGGGUAGCGAACGGGAUUAGAUACCCCGGUAGUCCUGGCCGUAAACGAUGAGCACUAGGCCGGAG
rnacentral:rRNA from 1 species